rnacentral:rRNA from 1 species
UGCAAGUCGAGCGGAAACGAUCCUAGCUUGCUAGGAGGCGUCGAGCGGCGGACGGGUGAGUAAUGCAUAGGAAUCUGCCCGGUAGUGGGGGAUAACCUGGGGAAACCCAGGCUAAUACCGCAUACGCCCUACGGGGGAAAGCAGGGGAUCUUCGGACCUUGCGCUAUCGGAUGAGCCUAUGUCGGAUUAGCUAGUUGGUGAGGUAACGGCUCACCAAGGCUGCGAUCCGUAGCUGGUCUGAGAGGAUGAUCAGCCACAUCGGGACUGAGACACGGCCCGAACUCCUACGGGAGGCAGCAGUGGGGAAUAUUGGACAAUGGGCGAAAGCCUGAUCCAGCCAUGCCGCGUGUGUGAAGAAGGCCUUCGGGUUGUAAAGCACUUUCAGUGAGGAAGAAAGCCUUGAGGUUAAUACCCUCGAGGGAGGACAUCACUCACAGAAGAAGCACCGGCUAACUCCGUGCCAGCAGCCGCGGUAAUACGGAGGGUGCGAGCGUUAAUCGGAAUUACUGGGCGUAAAGCGCGCGUAGGCGGCUUGAUAAGCCGGUUGUGAAAGCCCCGGGCUCAACCUGGGAACGGCAUCCGGAACUGUCAGGCUAGAGUGCAGGAGAGGAAGGUAGAAUUCCCGGUGUAGCGGUGAAAUGCGUAGAGAUCGGGAGGAAUACCAGUGGCGAAGGCGGCCUUCUGGACUGACACUGACGCUGAGGUGCGAAAGCGUGGGUAGCAAACAGGAUUAGAUACCCUGGUAGUCCACGCCGUAUACGAUGUCGACUAGCCGUUGGGCUCCUUGAGAGCUUUGUGGCGCAGUUAACGCGAUAAGUCGACCGCCUGGGGGAGUACGGCCGCAAGGUUAAAACUCAUAUGAAUUGACGGGGGCCCGCACAAGCGGUGGAGC